UGAGGGCUAUCUGGCUACAACAUCUGUUAGCUCAUUGAUCAUCAGGGUUGAUAUGGCUGAUCUGGCUGGUCAGGCAAAUGUACUCUUCCUACA
rnacentral:sRNA from 1 species